GUGCCAGCCGCCGCGGUAAUACGUAGGUGGCGAGCGUUGUCCGGAAUUACUGGGUGUAAAGGGCGCGUAGGCGGGGAUGCAAGUCAGAUGUGAAAUACCGAGGCUUAACCUCGGGGCUGCAUCUGAAACUGUAUUUCUUGAGUGUCGGAGAGGAAAGUGGAAUUCCUAGUGUAGCGGUGAAAUGCGUAGAGAUUAGGAGGAACACCAGUGGCGAAGGCGACUUUCUGGACAGCAACUGACGCUGAGGCGCGAGAGCGUGGGGAGCAAACAGGAUUAGAUACCCUGGUAGUCCACGCCGUAAACGAUGGAUACUAGGUGUAGGAGGUAUCGACCCCUUCUGUGCCGUAGUUAACACAAUAAGUAUCCCACCUGGGGAGUACGGCCGCAAGGCUGAAACUUAAAGGAAUUGGCGG
rnacentral:rRNA from 1 species